UGGGGGCAACCCUGAUCCAGCCAUGCCGCGUGAGUGAUGAAGGCCUUCGGGUUGUAAAGCUCUUUUGGCGGGGAAGAUGAUGACGGUACCCGCAGAAUAAGCCCCGGCUAACUUCGUGCCAGCAGCCGCGGUAAUA
rnacentral:rRNA from 1 species